rnacentral:tRNA from 1 species
GGAAUAUAGUUUAGUUGGUAGAGGGCUUGCCUUCCAGCACAAGGCCCUGGGUUCAAUCCCCAGUACCA